GAUGAACGCUAGCGAUAGGCCUAACACAUGCAAGUCGAGGGGCAUCACAUGAAGUAGCAAUACGGAUGGUGGCGACCGGCGCACGGGUGCGUAACGCGUGAGCAACAUGCCCGUAUCAGGGGGAUAAUCCAGGGAAACUUGGUCUAAUACCCCAUAGUAAUCAUAUCAGGCAUCUGGUAUGAUUUAAAGCUUAGGUGGAUACGGAUUGGCUCGCGUGACAUUAGCUAGAUGGUAAGGUAACGGCUUACCAUGGCUAUGAUGUCUAGGGGUUCUGAGAGGAAGGUCCCCCACACUGGAACUGAGACACGGUCCAGACUCCUACGGGAGGCAGCAGUGAGGAAUAUUGGACAAUGGAUGGAAAUCUGAUCCAGCCAUGCCGCGUGAAGGACGACGGUCCUAUGGAUUGUAAACUUCUUUUGUAUGGGAGCAAUAAGGUCUACGUGUAGAUCGAUGAGAGUACCAU
rnacentral:rRNA from 1 species